rnacentral:rRNA from 1 species
CCAGAGAACUUUCCAGAGAUGGAUUGGUGCCUUCGGGAACUCUGAGACAGGUGCUGCAUGGCUGUCGUCAGCUCGUGUUGUGAAAUGUUGGGUUAAGUCCCGCAACGAGCGCAACCCUUAUCCUUUGUUGCCAGCGGUCCGCCGGGAACUCAAAGGAGACUGCCAGUGAUAAACUGGAGGAAGGUGGGGAUGACGUCAAGUCAUCAUGGCCCUUACGAGUAGGGCUACACACGUGCUACAAUGGCGCAUACAAAGAGAAGCGACCUCGCGAGAGCAAGCGGACCUCAUAAAGUGCGUCGUAGUCCGGAUUGGAGUCUGCAACUCGACUCCAUGAAGUCGGAAUCGCUAGUAAUCGUGGAUCAGAAUGCCACGGUGAAUACGUUCCCGGGCCUUGUACACACCGCCCGUCACACCAUGGGAGUGGGUUGCAAAAGAAGUAGGUAGCUUAACCUUCGGGAGGGCGCUUACCACUUUGUGAUUCAUGACUGGGGUGAAGUCGUAACAAGGUAGGCGUAGUGCU